UAUUCACGAAAAAUGAAAACAGAGAAAUAUACUUCAUCCAUAUAUAUAAUAAAAUCAUAGUUACCCUCAAUGUGGGAUAUUCUGACUCAAAUCCAAAUUUAGUGAUUUAGUCGCUCCAAUAUGAAUACCGGCAUCUGUUGAGGAAAGAAAAAAAACAGGUCACGGUUGAAACAGUAAUGUUUAUUAGAAUUUUUUUCUUAAGAUUCGAUAAGCUACCAAAAAAAAAAAAGUAAAUGUCUUUAUCACUGUCACAGUGAUUGAAUCUGAUCAAGUCCAAUUCUUUCUCUGUUUACGUAGACUAUUUAUGAGCUGUAUAAUUCCAAGAAAGUUCCUCUUUGCUUUCUCUAAUUCCAAGAAAGUUCCAAUCACGCAAUCUAUAUCUCUUUGGCAUUAUAAAUAAUAAGGUUAUCACAUUCCAAUUAGUUCAUUUCCACAACUAGCACAAAUGCAUACACUAGCACACGAGCACUGAAACAAAUUAAAUAAUGGGUGCUAAGCUCACUGUUAUCGAAAAUAGGUCCAACAAUGACAUGGAAAUUAGAGUAUGGGUACCUCCGGCUCGACCGGACAAAUUUCAAAGAAUUAUGAGAAUUGAAGCUAAAGGAUGGAAGGAAAUAAAUUCCAAAAAUUUCAGUUUUGGAAACUUAAGUCCUGAUGAGGGAUUUAUGUCUACUUUGUUAAUGAUUUAUGUUGAUGGAGUUUAUACAGGAAAUUAUUUUCUUCCCACCCACUUGAGGAAGUAUGCGAAAGUCAUCUGCGACAUAAAUGAAGAAGGACAUUACGUUAUACAAGGAAUCAAACCAACCUUCGACUUCUGCAGAUUCAAGUAAUUAACUAGGGUUGUGCCUUCUUUCCCUAUCUCAGAGGAAACAAGAAGGAGAUGGUUUGAGCCUCUAUUUAAGAAUAAUAUUCAAGUUCUGAUUUUCUUCUAGACUCAUCAUCCAAGUAGAAGAAGCUCAAAUUUUGAAGAUGUAUGCUAUACAAUCAAUGUCCAAUGAUAUAUUGGCCCUCUUGUUUAUGACAUGAGGUUGUGCUAUAUAUAUUACCACUUUAAUAUUUCUAUAGUGCUUCAAGUUAUCCGGUCUAUCUUAUAUUUUGUGAGAUUAUAUUUAUUUUGUAAUGUUAUCUUUAUUCCAACUUCAUCUAAAUGUAUGGAGAAUGAAACUUCAUUUCUCGUAUUGCACUCUCUUUGUUAAAAUUCUCAUAACUUAGAGUUAUUAAUCUUUUACACCCCUUAUCCAUGCCCUUUUUAAUUUGUACCAUGUCUUCUUACUUUAUUUUUUUGUUUGUUUUUGCCUAAUCCCUUAUCUCUUUAUUUUCCACUGUGAUUAGUACUCUUUAACUUUUUACUUGCACUUCCAUGGGACAGAUACCAUUGAUAAUUAAUUAACUGAUUGUCCCUUACAUUUUACUUUUUCAUUUUUAUUCUUACUCUAAUAAAUAUGAAAGAGAUUAACGUCGUAAAAGAAAAUAAUAAUAGUAAAUUGAGAUCGAAGAAUAAAUAAGGUUAAUUUAGUCAAAUUAUUAUUCUAACUGACGUUUUCUUAAAAAAAAAAAAAAGGUGCAAAAGACAGCAUGACAAAUAAACUGAGAUGAAUGUAGUACUUGAAAUUAGAGUUAACUGUAACGACCCAUUUCGUCGUUACUGUGAAUUUCGAAGAAAGACCGCAACUCUGACUCCUUAAUACUGUCUUCGUCUAGUUUGUUCUGGAAAUCGCUAAUUCCAUCGAAAUCGUUGUGCGCAUCGCGCGAGGGAUGGAAGUGUGGGCCACCAGGCCCAGCUGAGCCGCCAUAGUGCCAGUAUUGGCGCUACAGUGGUGGCGUUGUAGCGGUCUAAUCACCGCCAUAGCGGUAAGAGCUUAUGGCCAGUGAGCCGCCAUAGCGGCCACUCAGUGGCCCUAGGGGCACCGCUAAAGCAUUGAACUUACCACUGGGGCAGUCUCAUAUAGUGAAAUCACUAUCUAAGACUCCAUUUCGGGAAUUGGUCCCAUUUUUCUCCCAACCCUAAAUUCCAGCCGCCCAGGUCCUUUAGGAAGUGAAAAUAAUCAGAUUGUUGGUCUUGAUAAUCCUUCUAAUACCUUCAAAUUCUCCUUCCACCUAGUAAAUUUCUCAAAAUAAAUCUUGACCUAGAUAACCAUCUAAUGGGUAUUACAAGUAUCUAUGGUGGGAGAAUGAUGGGUUAGCAAUACUUUUCACAAGAAUCCUAUUAAGCAAUCUUCCAUGUUCUUCCCCUAAAUCAGUUAAUAACCUAGAUUCUUACCUUCCUUUUUCUUAAAAAUGAGUUCUUCCAUGGAUCUUGGAAAUGGGUCUUCCUAAAUAUAAGCUUAAAAAUUGGUAAAUCACCUAGUGUUGUUGUAGAUGGAAUCUAGGAGUGGUUUAAGAUCCCAAAACCUUUCUUUUAAUCUGAAAUCUCUUAUAAGGGUUCUAAUGGUAAUUUCUAUUCUUGGGCCUCAUGGUUAUCUCCAAGCUCUUCAUGCGGAUUACGGUGUGGUGAUCGAGUUGAAGAAUCAAUAGAUGUUCGUGGCACCCGCUCGGCCAUUAGAUUGUUUCAGGUGGUUGGUUGUGGUAUGAAGCAGAAAUGCGCGGUGUCUAUCUGGAAGGCCUUUUCUCACUUCAUUUCGGGACGGAGGUUGAGUCUUAGAAUGUAGUGGUAUUCUGGAAUCAUUUAGUCACUCUUGUACUAGUCUAGACCAGGUCAUGGGAAGUCAGAUCGAGUUUGUAAUCAUUAAAUUGUUGUGAUCAUAUUAAAUCUUGAGUUUAUUGAAUAUAUUAU